rnacentral:rRNA from 1 species
GACGAACCGUGCAAACGUUGUUCGGAAUCACUGGGCUUAAAGGGCGCGUAGGCGGUCGGCAAAGUCAGGGGUGAAAUCUUUCGGCUCAACCGGAAAAGUGCCUUUGAAACUAGUCGACUCGAGGGAGGUAGGGGCACUUGGAACUUCCGGUGGAGCGGUGAAAUGCGUUGAUAUCGGAAGGAACGCCGGUGGCGAAAGCGAAGUGCUGGACCUUUAUCUGACGCGGAGGCGCGAAAGCCAGGGGAGCAAACGGG